rnacentral:rRNA from 1 species
UACAGACCGUGCAGGCGUUAUUCAUCUUGACUGGGCGUAAAGGGUAUGUAGGUGGAUUUGCAUAACUAUUUGAGAAAUUCUGGAGUCAUACCUUUAGAAGCUCAUUUACAGAUUGCAAACUUGAAUUAGUGCGAGGUCGGUGAAAUUUCUAGUGUAAGCGUGACAAGUAAACAUAUUAGAAGGAAUACCAGUCGGCGGAGGCAACUUUCCAGCGCUAAUUGACGCUGAGGUACGAAAGUUUGAGGAUCAAAUCGG